rnacentral:rRNA from 1 species
CGGUCCCUAUCUGUCGUGGGCGCAGGAAAUUUGAGAGGAGCUGUCCUUAGUACGAGAGGACCGGGAUGGACGCACCGCUGGUGCACCAGUUGUUCCGCCAGGAGCACAGCUGGGUAGCCAUGUGCGGACGGGAUAAGCGCUGAAAGCAUCUAAGCGUGAAGCCCCCCUCAAGAUGAGAUUUCCCACAGCGUAAGCUGGUAAGACCCCUUAUAGAUGAUGAGGUGGAUAGGUUCGAGGUGGAAGCGUGGCAACACGUGGAGCUGACGAAUACUAAUCGGUCGAGGGCUUAACCA